rnacentral:tRNA from 1 species
GCGCCUGUAGCUCAGCUGGAUAGAGCGUCUGACUACGGAUCAGAAGGUCGGGGGUUCGAAUCUUCCCAGGCGCACCA